rnacentral:rRNA from 1 species
UGAGGAAUAUUGGUCAAUGGGCGAGAGCCUGAACCAGCCAAGUAGCGUGCAGGAUGACGGCCCUAUGGGUUGUAAACUGCUUUUAUAUGGGAAUAAAGUGAGGGACGUGUCCCUUAUUGCAUGUACCAUACGAAUAAGGACCGGCUAAUUCCGUGCCAGCAGCCGCGGUAAUACGGAAGGUCCAGGCGUUAUCCGGAUUUAUUGGGUUUAAAGGGAGCGUAGGCUGUCUAUUAAGCGUGUUGUGAAAUUUACCGGCUCAACCGGUGGCUUGCAGCGCGAACUGGUCGACUUGAGUAUGCAGGAAGUAGGCGGAAUUCAUGGUGUAGCGGUGAAAUGCUUAGAUAUCAUGACGAACUCCGAUUGCGCAGGCAGCUUACUGUAGCAUAACUGACGCUGAUGCUCGAAAGUGCGGGUAUCAAACAGG